rnacentral:rRNA from 1 species
AGGACGAACGCUGGCGGCGUGCUUAACACAUGCAAGUCGAGCGGUAAGGCCUUUCGGGGUACACGAGCGGCGAACGGGUGAGUAACACGUGGGUGAUCUGCCCUGCACUCUGGGAUAAGCCUGGGAAACUGGGUCUAAUACCGGAUAUGACCUGCUCUCGCAUGGGGGGUGGGUGGAAAGAUUUAUCGGUGCAGGAUGGGCCCGCGGCCUAUCAGCUUGUUGGUGGGUAAUGGCCUACCAAGGCGACGACGGGUAGCUGACCUGAGAGGGUGACCGGCCACACUGGGACUGAGACACGGCCCAGACUCCUAUGGGAGCAGCAGUGGGAAUAUGCACAAUGGGCAAGCCUGAUGCAGCGACGCCGCGUGAGGGAUGGAAGGUCCUUCGGGUUAGUAAACCUUCGUUUACAGCGAGGGACGAAGCGCAAGUGACGUCCUGCAGAAGAGCACCGCUAACUACGUGCCAGCAGCCGA